ensembl:misc_RNA Gm56036 predicted gene, 28032
GUCACUCGGUGUUCUCACCGAAAGCACGUAAUCGCCGGUGUAACUCAUGUUGGCUGGGGGGCCUCCCCGCGCGCAGAAAGGCUGCGGUGCGCCCCC